UAUUAUUAUAUUAAAAUAAUAAUAAAAUAUAAAAUAAAUAAAAAUAAAUAAAUAAAUAAAAUAUUAAAAAAAUUAAAAAUAUUUUUUGGUAAUUAAAAAAUAGAGUUUUAAAAUAAUAAUAAAAUAUUAUUUUAAAAAUAAUUUUGAAAAAUAUACGGAUAGGGAUGAAGUCAUGGAGGAGCGGUGGUUAAGUGGAGGAGUCGUGGGCAGU
rnacentral:lncRNA from 1 species